rnacentral:misc_RNA from 1 species
AGCAUUAAUAUUUUAAGGGACAGGUGCUGUUUGAACUUUUGAUUUGAACAAUAUAUAAGCUAACAUGCAUCUGACUUUAAAUUUCGAUUUCUAUGAUUGGCUCAAAAUUUGCUGAUGCAUGUUUGCUUUGCUUUGCUUUUAUAUUCAUGUCUUACUGAAACUUGCUGCUUGAAGGAUGAACAAUAAAAAAGUAGUUUAGAUCUCUUAAGUGAAUAUUUGUUUUUUCAUAUUGAGUUAUUGACCAAGUGCAAUUUUAUUCUCAGUGUAAUAAAAGGCAAUAGUUGCCCUCAAGGCAUUACUCGACACAAUGUAAAAUUAAUUUUAAACUAGUUGGGGUCUACCAUAUGGAUUAUUUUUCCUCAUUUCACAGAACUACAUUUCAGAAAGUUUUAAGGCCACAGUUCAAUUAGUCUAUGGUUGCAUUUUUAGAAAGAUUUGAUGCCACUAAAUCCGUUUCACUACUUUAUGUCAUCUUAGGUUUUCCCCUUGCUUUCUCGUUACCUAUGACUUUAAUGUGCGCAAUUUUUUUGCACUAGUGCAUUUGCUGAUCAACUACGUACUUGUCAAAACCAUAUCAACCUCCCUUCUCUCAAUGUCCACCUUCUUAUGACCACAUUUAUUCAUCAUCAAGUCCAUUCUUAUAUUUCUUUAUAUCCAUCUUACCCUUUGUUUGGGAAGUAGUUUUUUAAAGUAAUUGAAGGUUUU